ACAUUAAACUCUGCAAACUAAAUAUCGGCAAAAACGGAGAUAUUUUGGAAAGCAUAUUUUAGGAAAGCAAUUUUGCUGCCAGCCAGUACAAUAUAACGGUAUUCUUUGGCUUGCAUUUUGCCGAAGUAGGUUUCUCUCGCUUCGUUUUCUGGUCGUCUGGUUAUUUGCUAUACUAUCAUGCCAAAUCAUCAGUUGAAGAACUGAGCUACUUUGAGCCUAGUACUCCGAUCCGAAAAAAUGUUUGCUAGCAGCAAAGUGUCACCAGGUGUGCAUUCUGUAUGGUUACACUGUUGAGUCAUCUGUGUUUUGUUAAUAAAUUGACCUGAAGUCUACAGUCUAAUGUCAUAUUACCAUUAUCAACAGUAUUUUGAAAAAAUAUCGGUAUUUUUUUGUGAUAGGCGGAAUGAAUUUUGCCGUUACUUACCUUUUUUUAAGGUAAUAGAAAUUAUGGAAAAUAUAAACAAACAAAAAAUCCCACCAGAAGAAAGACAUGACAAAACACUACAUCUAUUAUUAAAAAUAACCUGACACUUGAUAUAUCGAUUUUUCGAUACAUACUAUCGACUUGAUCAGCUGAGCAGAGUAGUGAGCGCCCAUUUCCAAACCACAUUGUAGGCUAUGACAACUAAACUUUACCAAUUUUCUUCAGAAAAGGAGAACUUUUCUCAAGUUUUGUAAAAAUAAAGUACGAAGACUAGCAACUGUAACUCAUAUCAGUUUUAAUCAUUGCACGGUGAUAAUGGAUUGGAUUACGUGGCUUGCCAAUAAUAUUGUCGAUUGUGAAUAACGUCGUCUUUGAUCGGCUGUUGGCUGCUGUUGUUCCGGUGCCAGGUGCUGGAGCCGUAUUGCUGGGCAUCAGAUGUUGGAGCCCCUUAAAUGCAUCGCUUAGUCCUGGGAGCCGGUGGUUGUGCGUCGGCGUGAAGGCGCUCGGGGAAUGUAAUUCAUCGUGCAGGGCCGAUGCACUAUCCGGGACGUUCUGAGCUGUCUUGCUGGAGCACGGACUGUCCGUGGAUGCAUCGCCAUCCACCUCGGCGUCGACGUCUGCGUUGGAUUCUCUAACCACCGUGGAAGCGCCUGGAAGUUGGCGCACCCCACUUGCCUCGCCAUUAAACAGGCUGUUGAAGCCAAGGGAUACGGAUAAGUACUGACGGUGCAGAUCCGUGAUGCGAUCCGAGUAGUUCGGCCUCUCGUUGCAGAAGAUAUCAAAGUCGUUCAGUGAGUCGCUGGGCGAUCUGAUUUCCGCCGUACUGCUGCCAUCCGUAGCAUCCUGACGGAAUCAAUAAAUCAAUUUGAUUACUUUAUCCAGCAUCUUCUGCAGCCUCUCCUCUUACCUUGCCCGCAUCCCGUUCAUAGCGACUGGCGUUGGUGCAAUGCCUCUGCCUCCGGGUCCGACGUCGACGGUAGUUACCCUGUUCGAACAUGUCCGAGGCGGAGGCAUCCAGCAUCCAGUAGCUGCCCUUUCCGGCGCUAUCAUUGUCAUCGAUGGUGUUCUUGUCUCGCGGCACCUUCACAAAGCAGUCGUUCAGCGAUAGAUUGUGUCGGAUGGAGUUCUGCCAGCCCUGUUUGUUAUCCCGAUAGUAGGGGAAUCUAAAAGAAUCGAAAAUAAAGAUCAAUAAUCAAUAAUUAAUAGUCAAUCUAUGCAAAACAGCCUUCAAGUUAAUAAAAUUUAAUUUAAAUAAGAAUUUUAAACUGAAAACUAGAUAAAAUUCAUAGUAAUCUUGAUAAAGUGAUCCAAAAUUGACAAUAAAUAUUGGGAAACCGAUCUUUACUGCUCUGUUCUGAUAUGACACGAUUUAUUUUGACUUUCGAGAGCUUGUUUCAAUUCGAAAACCUUAUUUUUAAUAUACCAGAUUCCUUAUAAGAAAUAAUUAUUUUAUGGCAAAGAUCACACAGAGAUAAUUUAAAUAAAUAUCUACGUCAAUUUUACGUGUAAUCCUUUCAGAUAUUUACCCAAUUUUGAACAUGAUAUAGUAGGCUAAUGAAUGUAUGGCUGUUCCUAAUUAAACUCGGAAAAUUAUGUUCAAUAUUUCACCGCUAAAGUCCCAGAUUAUGCCAAUGCUUUUUCAACUGUUUUGAAAUGCGUUUUCACAUACAAAUGUACAUUUAAUUUGUAUACAGACUAUAUAUUUGUCUAUUUAAAUUAUAUAUAAAACUGGAA